rnacentral:rRNA from 1 species
UACGUAGGGUGCGAGCGUUGUCCGGAAUUAUUGGGCGUAAAGGGCUCGUAGGCGGUCUGUCACGUCGGGAGUGAAAACUCAGGGCUUAACCCUGAGCCUGCUUCCGAUACGGGCAGACUAGAGGUAUGCAGGGGAGAACGGAAUUCCUGGUGUAGCGGUGAAAUGCGCAGAUAUCAGGAGGAACACCGGUGUCGAAGGCGGUUCUCUGGGCAUUACCUGACGCUGAGGAGCGAAAGUGUGGGGAGCGAACAGG